rnacentral:rRNA from 1 species
ACUCCUACGGGAGGCAGCAGUGGGGAAUAUUGCACAAUGGGGGAAACCCUGAUGCAGCCAUGCCGCGUGUGUGAAGAAGGCCUUCGGGUUGUAAAGCACUUUCAGUAGGGAGGAAGGUAGUGUAGUUAACACCUGCAUUAUUUGUACGUUACCUACAGAAGAAGCACCGGCUAACUCCGUGCCAGCAGCCGCGGUAAUACGGAGGGUGCGAGCGUUAAUCGGAAUUACGUGGGCGUAAAGCGCAUGCAGGCGGCCUGUUAAGUCAGAUGUGAAACGCCCGGGGCUUAACCUCGGAAUUGCAUUUGAAACUGGCAGGCUAGAGUCUUGUAGAGGGGUUAGAAUUUCAGGUGUAGCGGUGAAAUGCGU